AGCGAACGCUGGCGGCAGGCCUAACACAUGCAAGUCGAACGGCAGCACAGUAAGAGUUUGCUCUUAUGGGUGGCGAGUGGCGGACGGGUGAGGAAUAUAUCGGAAUCUACUCUUUCGUGGGGGAUAACGUAGGGAAACUUACGCCAAUACCGCAUACGACCUACGGGUGAAAGCAGGGGAUCUUUGGACCUUGUGCGAUUGAAUGAGCCGAUGUUGGAUUAGCUAGUUGGCGGGGUAAAGGCCAAGCAAGGCGACGAUCCGUAGCUGGUCUGAGAGGAUGGUCAGCCACACUGGAGCUGGGACACGCUCCAGACUCCUACGGGAGGCAGCAGUGGCGAAUGUUAGACAAUGGGCGCAAGCCUUGUCCAGCCGUACCGCGUGUGUGAAGGAGGCCUUCGGGUUGUGAAGCCCUUUUGUUGGGAGAGAAAAGCAGCAGGUUAAUACCCCGCGGUUCUGACGGUACCCAGUGAAUAAGCACCGGCUAACUUCGUG
rnacentral:rRNA from 1 species